GAUGAACGCUGGCGGCGUGCCUAAUACAUGCAAGUCGAGCGAAUGGAUUAAGAGCUUGCUCUUAUGAAGUUAGCGGCGGACGGGUGAGUAACACGUGGGUAACCUGCCCCUAAGACUGGGAUAACUCCGGGAAACCGGGGCUAAUACCGGAUAACAUUUUGAACCGCAUGGUUCGAAAUUGAAAGGCGGCUUCGGCUGUCACUUAUGGAUGGACCCGCGUCGCAUUAGCUAGUUGGUGAGUGAACGGCUCACCAAGGCCACGAUGCGUAGCCGGCCUGGCAGGGUGAUGGACCACGCUGGGACUGAGACACGGCCCAGACUCCUACGCGAGGCAGCAGUAGGGAAUCGUCCGCAAUGGACGAAAGUCUGACGGAGCAACGCCGCGAGAGUGAGGAAGGCUUUCGGGUCGUAAAACUCUGUUGUUAGGGAAGAACAAGUGCUAGUUGAAUAAGCUGGCACCUUGACGGUACCUAACCAGAAAGCCACGGCUAACUACGUGCCAGCCGCCGCUGUAA
rnacentral:rRNA from 1 species